GUCGGUUAAAUACCGACCUGCAUGAAUGGCGUAACGAGAUGGGAGCUGUCUCAAAGAGGGAUCCAGUGAAAUUGUAGUGGAGGUGAAAAUUCCUCCUACCCGCGGCAAGACGGAGAGACCCCGUGGACCUUUACUAUAGCUUGACACUGCUACUUGGAUAAGAAUGUGCAGGAUAGGUGGGAGGCUUUGAGGCUAGGACGCCAGUUCUAGUGGAGCCAUUGUUGAGAUACCACUCUUUCUUAUUUGGGUAGCUAACCAGCUUGA
rnacentral:rRNA from 1 species